rnacentral:lncRNA from 1 species
AUACCUCCAAGAAACAUAUCCGUAUAAGCACUCACAAAAGAAUUCUUCCAAUAAAUCCACUCAAUUCGGCCCAAAAGAAAUGCAUACACAAUCUAUGAAAUAAAACCCUAUAUUUCGAAAUCGAUUGAAUGGAUCCCCAGUUCCUAUCUCUUGUGGAAUAGCAAAAUUUCAAAUCACAGAUGCAAAUCUAAAUCAACCAAUUUCUUCAAAUUUAAACUCCAUACUGAUGCAACUGAGUAUUAAUACGCAUACAAACGAAAAGGAAAGGGGAAAUAUGCUUGUAUAUACUCGUUGAUCUGAGCAAUGGCAUGACCUUCUGCCUGAAUUUCUUUUCGGUGGGUUUAUGAG